AUUGAACGCUGGCGGCAGGCCUAACACAUGCAAGUCGAACGGUAACAGGAAACAGCUUGCUGUUUCGCUGACGAGUGGCGGACGGGUGAGUAAUGUCUGGGAAACUGCCUGAUGGAGGGGGAUAACUACUGGAAACGGUAGCUAAUACCGCAUAACGUCGCAAGACCAAAGAGGGGGACCUUCGGGCCUCUUGCCAUCGGAUGUGCCCAGAUGGGAUUAGCUAGUAGGUGGGGUAACGGCUCACCUAGGCGACGAUCCCUAGCUGGUCUGAGAGGAUGACCAGCCACACUGGAACUGAGACACGGUCCAGACUCCUACGGGAGGCAGCAGUGGGGAAUAUUGCACAGUGGGCGCAAGCCUGAUGCAGCCAUGCCGCGUGUAUGAAGAAGGCCUUCGGGUUGUAAAGUACUUUCAGCGGGGAUGAAGGGAGUAAAGUUAAUACCUUUGCUCAUUGACGUUACCCGCAGAAGAAGCACCGGCUAACUCCGUG
rnacentral:rRNA from 1 species